rnacentral:rRNA from 1 species
CCUACGGGAGGCAGCAGUAGGGAAUAUUGCUCAAUGGGGGAAACCCUGAAGCAGCAACGCCGCGUGGAGGAUGAAGGUUUUCGGAUUGUAAACUCCUUUUGUUAGAGAAGAUGAUGACGGUAUCUAACGAAUAAGCACCGGCUAACUCCGUGCCAGCAGCCGCGGUAAUACGGAGGGUGCAAGCGUUACUCGGAAUCACUGGGCGUAAAGAGGGCGUAGGCGGGAUAGCAAGUCAGAUGUGAAAUACUAUGGCUUAACCAUAGAACUGCAUUUGAAACUGUUAUUCUAGAGUAUGGGAGGGGUAGGUGGAAUUCUUGGGGUAGGGGUAGAAUCCGUAGAGAUCAAGAGGAAUACUCAUUGCGAAGGCGACCUGCUAGAACAUAACUGACGCUGAGGCGCGAAAGCGUGGGGAGCAAACAGGAUUAGAUACCCUAGUAGUC